rnacentral:rRNA from 1 species
GAUGAACGCUGGCGGCGUGCCUAAUACAUGCAAGUCGAGCGAACGGACGAGAAGCUUGCUUUUCUGAUGUUAGCGGCGGACGGGUGAGUAACACGUGGAUAACCUACCUAUAAGACUGGGAUAACUUCGGGAAACCGGAGCUAAUACCGGAUAAUAUUUUGAACCGCAUGGUUCAAAAGUGAAAGACGGUCUUGCUGUCACUUAUGGAUGGAUCCGCGCUGCAUUAGCUAGUUGGUAAGGUAACGGCUUACCAAGGCAACGAUGCAUAGCCGACCUGAGAGGGUGAUCGGCCACACUGGAGCUGAGACACGGUCCAGACUCCUAAGGGAGGCAGCAGUAGGGAAUCUUCCGCAAUGGGCGAAAGCCUGACGGAGCAACGCCGCGUGAGUGAUGAAGGUCUUCGGAUCGUAAAACUCUGUUAUUAGGGAAGAACAUAUGUGUAAGUAACUGUGCACAUCUUGACGGUACCUAAUCAGAAAGCCACGGCUAACUACGUG